rnacentral:rRNA from 1 species
AACGGCCAUGAUACUGUUAGGCUUAAAUAUUAGGAAGUAACUAGAAUAUGUAGUGUAGCGGUGAAAUGGGUAGAGAUUACAUGGAAUACCAAUUGCGAAGGCAGGUUACUACUAAUGGAUUGACGCUGAUGGACGAAAGCGUGGGUAGCGAACACGAUUAGAUACCCUCGUAGUCCACGCUGUAAACGAUGGAUACUAGCUGUUGGAAGCAAUUUCAGUGGCUAAGCGAAAGUGAUAAGUAUCCCACCUGGGGAGUACGUUCGCAAGAAUGAAACUCAAAGGAAUUGACGGGGGCCCGCACAAGCGGUGGAGCAUGUGGUUUAAUUCGAUGAUACGCGAGGAACCUUACCAACACUUAAAUAUAGUUUGACCGAUUUGGAAACAGAUCUUUCGCAAGACAAAUUCCAAGGUGCUGCAUGGUUGUCGUCAGCUCGUGCCGUGAGGUGUCAGGUUAAGUCCUAUAACGAGCGCAACCCCUCUUGUUAGUUGCCAGCAAGUCAUGUCGGGAACUCUAACAAGACUGCCAGUGCAAACUGUGAGGAAGGUGGGGAUGACGUCAAAUCAUCACGGCCCUUACGCCUUGGGUUACACACGUGCCACAAUGGACGGUACAGAGAGCAGCCACUACGUGAGUAGGAGUGAAUCUACAAAACCUUUCUCAGUUCGGAUCGGAGUCUGCAACUCGACUCCGGGAAGCUGGAAUCGCUAGUAAUCGGAUAUCAGCCAUGAUCCGGUGAAUACGUUCCCGGGCCUUGUACACACCGCCCGUCAAGCCAUGGAAGCCGGGGGUGCCUGAAGUCGGUGACCGCAAGGAGCUGCCCAGGGUAAAACUGGUAACUAGGGCUAAGUCGUAACAAGGUAACC